rnacentral:rRNA from 1 species
AUGGCAUCCAGGGGUGGGGGUGAAAAGAUUGGCCGUGUGUAUUAUGUACAUCCUUUGAGUAGUGAUGAUUAUAUUUAUAAAACUUGUCAUUAUUAUGAUUACCCUUUUUCUGAACAUUACUCUUUUAAUGUGAAAACAAUUUAUAGUAUUCAAGUCUUUUAUGAUAGACAUCAUCAUUCUCGCUUUAAGAUACCUAUUCUUCUUGAAGAUAAUACACAGUUUGAUAUUAAAAGAGGCUCUAAGCUUUGUAAGUUGUUGAUGGUAUCUUCGCUUGUUAUUUGGGACGAGGCGCUGAUGACACACAGGAAAUGCUUUGAGGCUGUAGAUAGAACUUUGCGUGAUGUCCUCUCUGUGGCUAAUCCAGAUCUUGCUGAUAUUCCGUUCGGUGGAGUAGUGAUGGUCUUGGGUGGUGACCUUAGACAAAUAUUACCGGUCAUUGAGGGAGGUACUAGGCCUCAGAUCAUUGACGCAGCAAUCACGAAUUCUCCGCUAUUGCAUUCUGUUAAAAAAUUGUUGAUUUCUAUUAACAUACGCUUGGGUGUGCAUGGCGCGGAUACCCAGGCGCAGAAGGAUGUUGCCUUAUUUAGCAGAUGGGUGCUAGAUCUUGGGGAAGGGAAGUUGCCUGUCACAAGGCGAGGCGAUGAGGUCGAGGCUUCUUGGAUACAUAUAUUGGAUGACCUCUUGGUUUGUACGUCUGGUGAUCCAAUAGUUGCUAUUGUUUCUUCUGUCUAUGGUGAUUUUUUGCAUAACUACAUGAACUCUGGUUACUUUCAAGAGAGAGCCAUUUUAGCCCCUACCAAUGACCAUGUUGAGGAUAUUAAUGAUCACAUUCUUUCAUUGGUUCCUAAUGAUAGCAGAGACUAUUUGAGUGCUGAUUCUAUUGAUGAUUCUUCGGAUUUUGUUAGGGACAUAGAUGUUUACUAUCCAGUCGAGUACCUGAAUGCAACUAAAAUUAUAAAUUUCCCAAAUCAUAGGCUGACUCUUAAGGUUGGUGUUUCGAUUAUGCUUCUUAGAAACCUGAUCCAGGAAAAUGGUUUGUGUAAUGGUACACGACUAAUUGUAAAAGAAUUAGGUGAUCGGCUUAUCGAAGCUGUCAUUAUGACUGGCUCACAUGUGGGUGAUACUGUUUAUAUCCCCAGGAUUGAAUUAUUGGCAAAUAAGGGAAAUACACCCUUUGUGCUUAGACGUCGCCAGUUUCCCAUUCGUGUGUGUUAUGCCAUGACAAUUAAUAAGAGCCAGGGACAGACCCUGUCUGGUGUUGGUAUAUAUCUUAAGGGUCCUGUUUUUAUGCACGGGCAGCUGUAUGUGGCAGUGUCUCGUGUUACGUCGAGGGUUUCUUUGAAAAUCAUUAUAUUAGAUGCUGAUGGCAAAUGCGGCUCUGAGACCAAGAACAUUGUUUUUCCUGAGUUCUUCGGGCCGCGGGGAUGA